UACAGAGGGGGCAAGCGUUGUUCGGAAUUACUGGGCGUAAAGGGCGCGUAGGCGGCCUUCUAAGUCGAACGUGAAAUCCCUGGGCUCAACCCAGGAACUGCGUCCGAUACUGGAAGGCUUGAAUCCGGGAGAGGGAUGUGGAAUUCCAGGUGUAGCGGUGAAAUGCGUAGAUAUCGGGAGGAACACCAAUGGCGAAGGCAGCUCGCUGGGACGUUACUGACGCUGAGACGCGAAAGCGUGGGGAGCAAACAGG
rnacentral:rRNA from 1 species